GAUGAACGCUGGCUGCGUGCCUAAUACAUGCAAGUCGAGGGAACAGAUCAGGGGCUUUCUCCUCUCACGUUAGCGGCCGGCGGGUGGGUAACACGUGGGUAACCUACCUAUAACACUGUGAUGACUUCGGCAAACCGGAGCUAAUACCUGCUAAUAUAUUUAACCGCAUGGUUCAAUACUGAAAUACAGUUUUUCUGUCGCUUAUAGAUGGGUUCGGGCCGCAUUGGAUAGUUGGUAAGGUACAGGCUUACCAAGCCAACGGGGCGUAGCCGACCUGUGAGGGUGGUCAGGCACACUAGAACGGAGACACGGCACAGACUAAUACGGGAGGCAGCAGAAGGGAAUGUAACGUAAGUGGCGAAAGCCUGACGGGGAAACGCCGCGUGAGGGAUAAAGGUCUUCGGAUAGGAAUUCUCAGUUAUUAGGGAAGAACAAAUGUGUAAGUAACUUGGCACGUAUUGACGGUACCGAAUCAGAAAGCCACGGCUAACUACGUG
rnacentral:rRNA from 1 species